CGUAGGUGGCAAGCGUUGUCCGGAUUUAUUGGGUUUAAAGGGUGCGUAGGCGGCCCUGUAAGUCAGUGCUGAAAUAUCCCGGCUUAACCGGGAGGGUGGCAUUGAUACUGCAGGGCUUGAGUAAAGUUGAGGUUGGCGGAAUUGACGGUGUAGCGGUGAAAUGCUUAGAUAUCGUCAAGAACGCCGAUAGUGAAGACAGCUAACUAAGCUUUAACUGACGCUGAGGCACGAAAGUGUGGGGAUCAAACAGGAUUAGAUACCCUGGUAGUCCACACUGUAAACGUUGAUUACUCGAUGUUGGCGAUACACAGUCAGCGUCUUAGCGCAAGCGAUAAGUAAUCCACCUCGGGGAGUACGCCGGCAACGGUG
rnacentral:rRNA from 1 species